rnacentral:rRNA from 1 species
UACGUAGGUGGCGAGCGUUGUCCGGAUUUACUGGGCGUAAAGAGCGCGCAGGCGGUCGUACAAGUCGCGUGUGAAAGCCCCUGGCUCAACUGGGGAGGGUCACGCGAUACUGUUCGACUUGAAGGCAGGAGAGGGAAGUGGAAUUCCCGGUGUAGUGGUGAAAUGCGUAGAUAUCUGGAGGAACACCGGUGGCGAAGGCGGCAUCCUGGACCGACACUGACGCUGAGGCGCGAAAGCUAGGGGAGCAAACGGG